rnacentral:rRNA from 1 species
UACAGAGGGUGCAAGCGUUGUUCGGAAUUAUUGGGCGUAAAGCGCGUGUAGGCGGCUUUGCAAGUCGGGUGUGUAAGCCCUCAGCUCAACUGAGGAAGUGCGCCCGAAACUGCAGAGCUUGAGUACCGGAGAGGAUGGCGGAAUUCCCCAAGUAGAGGUGAAAUUCGUAGAUAUGGGGAGGAACACCGGUGGCGAAGGCGGCCAUCUGGACGGAUACUGACGCUGAGACGCGAAAGCGUGGGGAGCAAACAGG